rnacentral:rRNA from 1 species
GAUGAACGCUGGCGGCGUGCUUAACACAUGCAAGUCGAACGGUGAAGCCCAGCUUGCUGGGUGGAUCAGUGGCGAACGGGUGAGUAACACGUGAGCAAUCUGCCCCUGACUCUGGGAUAAGCGCUGGAAACGGCGUCUAAUACUGGAUAUGAACCGUGGAGGCAUCUUCAACGGUUGGAAAGAUUUUUUGGUCAGGGAUGAGCUCGCGGCCUAUCAGCUUGUUGGUGAGGUAAUGGCUCACCAAGGCGUCGACGGGUAGCCGGCCUGAGAGGGUGACCGGCCACACUGGGACUGAGACACGGCCCAGACUCCUACGGGAGGCAGCAGUGGGGAAUAUUGCACAAUGGGCGCAAGCCUGAUGCAGCAACGCCGCGUUGAGGGAUGACGGCCU